UACGGGGGGGGCAAGCGUUGUUCGGAAUUACUGGGCGUAAAGGGCUCGUAGGCGGCCAACUAAGUCGGACGUGAAAUCCCUCAGCUUAACUGAGGAACUGCGUCCGAUACUGGAUGGCUUGGAUUCGGGAGAGGAAUGCGGAAUUCCAGGUGUAGCGGUGAAAUGCGUAGAUAUCUGGAGGAACACCGGUGGCGAAGGCGGCAUUCUGGACCGACAUUGACGCUGAGGAGCGAAAGCCAGGGGAGCAAACGGG
rnacentral:rRNA from 1 species